CCUACGGGUGGCAGCAGUGAGGAAUAUUGGUCAAUGGACGAGAGUCUGAACCAGCCAAGUAGCGUGAAGGAUGACUGCCCUAUGGGUUGUAAACUUCUUUUAUAUGGGAAUAAAAUGUUCCACGUGUGGGAUUUUGUAUGUACCAUAUGAAUAAGGAUCGGCUAACUCCGUGCCAGCAGCCGCGGUAAUACGGAGGAUCCGAGCGUUAUCCGGAUUUAUUGGGUUUACAGGGAGCGUAGGUGGAUUGUUAAGUCAGUUGUGAAAGUUUGCGGCUCAACCGUAAAAUUGCAGUUGAAACUGGCAGUCUUGAGUACAGUAGAGGUGGGCGGAAUUCGUGGUGUAGCGGUGAAAUGCUUAGAUAUCACGAAGAACUCCGAUUGCGAAGGCAGUUCACUGGACUGCAACUGACACUGAGGCUCGAAAGUGUGGGUAUCAAACAGGAUUAGAUACCCUAGUAGUC
rnacentral:rRNA from 1 species